GGGUGGGGUCCGCGCAGUCUGCCCGGGGAUUCAACUCGGCGGGCCCGGGGAACGCCGCGCGGUGUGGGAGGAUCCCCUCGCGGGACUUCCCCCCGCUGUCGGCUGGCCCCCCGCCGGGCGCAUUUCCUCCGCGGCGGUGCGUCGCGACCGGCUCCGGUUCGGCCAGGAAGGGUCUGGGGCGAAGGUGGCUCGCGGCUCCGGCCGCGAGCUUUACAGCGCCUCUUGCCCGGAAUUCGCCGCUUACCGGGGCCGCGGACUCUGUGCUCUGGCGCCCUCUCUCCCCCUUAACCCGGGGAGGGACGGGGCCCCCUCGCUCCCGGCGCGACUGUCAACCGGGGCGGACUGUCCUCAGUGCGCUCCAACCGCGUCGCGCCGCCAGGGCGGGGAUCGGCCCAGCCAAAGGCGCAACGGGUCUGCGGCGAUGUCGGCUACCCACCCGA
rnacentral:rRNA from 1 species